CUUGAAAGUUAUGAGACAAGUUUAUUUUACUGCUAUCCGGAACUAGGGACAAGCUGGAACUGACGUAAAAUACUAUCAAUCUUACGCUAGUGUUGUUAUUUCGCGUGAGAGAAAUUCCAAAUAUGGGUAAAAUCCAUGACCAAAUAAGGAAUCUUCCUUAUUAGGUAAAUAAUUUUGCACUUAACGUCUUAGAAAACGACGUCAUAACAGCCCGAUUACAGUGAAAAGGUGCGCAACGUCGG
rnacentral:lncRNA from 1 species